UGAUGUGGUGAGUUCUAGGCCAUCCAAGGCUACAUAUCAGCACUGUCAAGACAGCCAGCCAGCCAGCCAGCCAGCCAGCCAGCCAGCCAGCCAAGAAAUUCCAAACAAAACAGCCCCAAGCAAAAACCAAAACAAAACUAUAAGCAUUUGGAAUUUGGUAUUUAAGAUGCUCCAGCCAUGCUCCUGAUGGGAGAAGGAUAAUUACGGUCUUGAAAGGUAGGGGAUUUUAAGGCAUGCCAACCCCUGGUGAUGGUCAUCGUCAUUGUCGUCACAUUGCACUAUAAUUGUCUAGUUCUGGUCUGGAGCCCUCACUAUCCUGUGAGCACCUCAAAGACUCAUAUUGUAUCCCGUUUCUAUUUUCGUUCCUACUGCCAAAUCAGGGUGAACAAAGGUACUCAGCAAGGCUGGAUAGAUGUAGAGGAG
ensembl:lncRNA